AAUGGCUCGAUUUGACGAAACACCUGUCGGUGGUGUUUCGUUUCAAAUUAAUAGAACUUGAAAUUUUCGUUCCCGAUAGUUUGCGAUAGAGAGAGGAGAGCAGAGAGGAAAGGAGAGAGAACCCAGCUCACGACCCCUUCUGAAAUCUCCACCUCAGAGAGGUAUUGGAACAAAUUUAGGGGUUUUUUGGACCACCUAUGACUGACUCUAGAUUCCAGAGAUAGAGAUCGAUAAGCUUCACAAAGUUUUGGUUUCGAAUAUAUUUUGGAACUCUCAUAGAGAGAGGAGAGAAGAAGAAACAGGAGCUCGCCCCCUUGUGAAAUCUCCUGUGCAGAGCAGGUAUUGGGACAAAUUUUAGGGUUUUUUUAGACCACCUAUGACUGACUCUAGCUUCCAGAGAUAGAGAUCGAUAAGCUUCAACGUUUUGAGGAGAGAUUUGUUUGUAACCCUCAAAUAUUCUCCUAAAAUGUCUUCAUCAUCGUAUAGCUCAUAUAGAGAGGUAAUGUCUUCUUCUUCUCUUCUCGAUUUUGCAGAGCCUCUGUUGAUUAUUUCACUAUUAUUAGCAUCUUAACCCAGCACGAUUAGUGAAGCGUAGUGGGCUGGUUCUGUUUGUCAUUGAGAUGGGUUUUGGGUUGUAUUGGAGAUAUUAUCAUUAAUUCUUAGCUCUCAUAAAGAUUCGAUAUUGUCCCUUCUAUUACUCCAGUUCUUGGAAUUUUUUGUUUCCCUACCGAGAUCUGCAUGACACAUUUGUUGUAUUUCAGAUGUUCUAAUCGGUUCAUAAUGACAAGGAAAUUAGUAGUUGGAGAUAACAACUAUUGAAUCUUUGUUGAGACAGCAAUUGCAUAAAUCAAUGAGGUUUGGAGUUGAGUUGCACUUGUAUGUCACUUGCUUUAUUCACUACUAAGCCUAUAUUACUACUUGUAGUUGUAUUACUAUGGUAUUGACAUGGCUUAGAGGUUGAGAUUUGUAGACUACCAUCUGUUUGACUUUUUUCCACAGUGAGAAGUUGAGUCUCUCUCUCUUCUUGUUUCUUUGGUUGUCCUAGUGGGAUCGGUUAUAGAUGAGAAAAAUUAAUUGUGUUUAAUAGAGUGAUUAAUGAGGAUCCCCUUGUAGUGAUGUUAAUGGUGAAUUGGAGAAAGAAGCUACUGGAGGACCUCAUUGGUUAAUCCAAAUAACAAAGAUAGAAGUAUAGAGGUGUUUGAUCCUCCUUAUGUAAGGAUCUACAAUGAUAGGGAUGACAAGUUUUGAGUUGAAAGUAUUAUUUUUCUGUUUGGUCAUUACCUGUGUACUGUCUAAUGGAAUUUUCUAACCUUCUGUUCUUAUUUUACAGUUGAAUCCCCUUUUUUUCCAGUGGCCAAUCCAUUGGGGACUUUUCUCAGUCUAUUAUGCAUUGGAUACACUCGGUCUAGAUUUCAUUUUGUGUUUGGUUGUUAUGUUUUACCAUAAAUUUUGCUAGCCUCAAAGGUCUUUAUGAGUAGUCAGUAAAACUUUCCCCGAUGUUUUUCAUGUGAGUAAUUUGUGGCUUGAACUGUUCUCAUGAACAAGUUCCCUGACCAUCCAUCUCACCUUCUUUACUCUCUUCUUCCCCAGGAAAUUAGAGCAAGGAUAACAUGGAUUAAACUCCAUUCAUGUCAAUUUUCAGUAAUCACAACCCCGUGAGACCCAGCCUUCUUAAGUCCACAUUCUAGGAGGCAAAAUUGAGAUUUUCUGCAUAAGCAAACCCAAUAUAGGUGUUUGAAGGUACCCUUAGGACUUAGAAAGACAAUAGGAUUCUCUUACUCCCCAAUGUCACCAACCAUGCUAGCUGUAGGAAGCACUACAGAGUACAGAUUUCAGUAAAACAUAAGAAAAAAAUUAAAUUAACUUGAAAAAUAUAACGUUCAGGCAAACAGGAUGGAGGGUUCUGCACUUAAUCAUAGCCAAAAAUUCCAGAAAUAAAAACCACCACAGGCUGCGGGGGUACCUAAAAUUGGAAUCACCGAAAAUUGGAAUCACCUAUGACAUAUUACCUCCACAAUAUCAGUCAAUAGAACCAUGUUAAGUCCAGUCUAUUUAACAUCAAUGUUCUUGAUGAUAUGAACUGAAAAUCCACCAUUUAAAACAGUACAAUGAAUCUGCUAGGACCAGAUAAGGUCCAUGCAUACAUAACUUGUAAUAAUCACCAGCUGGUAUGGGUAAUUGAAACUAAAUUUCCACUACAUCUUCUUACUUCAAUUCUGCAGCAAGUUAGGCCUUAAAGAUCACCUAAGGUUCUUAUGGGCUUGGCCCAGUUGAUGGUUGGACAUGAUCUUAUGACUCACAGUGGAACUUGUUUAUAGGAAAAUAAAAAAUUAAAAAAGACAAAAGGCUUCCUCUCACAUAACUAUAGAAUUCCACAACCAGUUAAAUAUUCAACAUCAAAGAAUGUGUUGUAUCCCUGAGAACUUUUUGAUAUGUUAAUUUAAUUAACAGGUACUUAAUAAGCAAAAUGAUAUUUCAUAUUUCAGAAUGAAAAUUGAAAUGUGACCAUUCUAUAGAAUAUAACCUGCCUAUUCAACUGUUGGAUUUGCCAAAUCUUCCAUCUGCAUAAAACACAAAUCAUCUCCACAAUAUGUCAAACAGAGAGAAGGCUGAGGUUGGAAACAAAAGAAAAAUAUGCUGCCCCUACUUACAACACCCUGAGGAAUUAAUAAAACCAUUUUGCCUUCCUAUUGCCCAAUGGUCCUUGAACAAUUUUCAGUAUUUUUUGGUUUGCUAUAAACCAAUGGCCUAUUUCAGAGUAAUAAAUAGGGACCCAACUUCAACUUCCACUAACAGCUAUACAAUUAACAUUGAUUGGUAUUGAGACAAAAAGGAAGACCCACCAAAACCAUGCCCUUUGUUUCUUUCCCUAUGGCACAUAAAGCCACUCUUACAAGUAACCCACGUAGUACUUGUUUUAUGAUACAUUUAUAUAUGUGGUACAAGUUGAUAUAUUAUUAUGAAUGUCAUAUAGUUGGAUGCUAUAUUAAUUUUUUUGAUAUUUAAAUUUCUGUUAUAGAUGAC